AACGCCACAAGGCAGGAAAGAAGACAAAAGGUAUAUCAGCAGCAUACCAUGGAGGAUGUGUCCAGUCAUCCUUUCAUUACUAUAUAUAAAGUAAUAAAAAGAAAACCCCAGACCCUGCUCUCCUGUACAGGCUGGAAGGACAAGGAAGGACAUCCAGGACAUGGUGCUGCCAGGGGAAUCACACAAGACUUUAUUUACAAAAUUCCACGACAAGCUUGACGUCAUGACCAGGAUGCUCGGAGUGUGGGCGCUGAGGAAUGACCCCAAAGACGGCUGAUCACCCAGAGGGAAAAAGUCAAUCCUUGGUCCCACCAAAGCAUCAAAAAGGGGGAGUUGUGGGGGGAGUCCUCAGCAACACACCGAGAUCAUCCAAAAGAACUAGAGGAGAAUCUGCACCGGUGAGCUGUGUCCAACCUAUGUUUAUACUUGAUAUAUAUAUAAACAUAAGUCACUGGAGUUCUCUGUUCAGCCAGGCCAGAGGGUGGGUGAAUGUUGCGCACCUCUGUGAUUGGACACGGUGAAGUUCUGAGCCUAAGCACGGAGCAAUUUCCUGACGUCUUAACUAGACAAAGGAUCUAAUAGCCCCCGGAGCAGUGGCUCACGGGAAAGUUGGCUGGGUUACUUAGAGUCUGCAGAGCGGUAUUUUAGCACUUUUGGUCCGUUAACGCAGAAAGGCCUCGCUAAGGACACUUAAGCGAGUAACAUGGGAUCUGGAUCCCCAAGACAGCCAGCAUGGCCGAAUUGAGGUCUGGGGCAUGGGCUGUGGCGCACGCCCCACCGGGUGGCCAAGGAGAGAACUCAAUCUUUGACUCUAUGGUGAAGAAAUAGGGGUUACAAUGCAUUGAAUGUGUUACUAAAUAGCAAAAGAAAUGUUGAAAAAUCAAGGGGCUAAAUCAGCUGGUUUGCUAAGUAUGAAUGAUGAAAAGAGAGUGUAUUAACCUACAACAGCAGCUUUAAAAAAAACAAAACAAAACAAAACAAAGUGAAAAAAGAGGUGAGAAAGGAGGAGAGAGGGAGAAAGCUGACACAGGGCCCGUGUCAGCACCCCUCCCGCCUCCGUAAAACGCAGCAAACAACACAUCAUUUUCCUGUUCAUACACCGCUACCCUUUUUUGUGCUUAUGCCCCACUACAGAAAGCUAAAGCUGACCUGGACUCCUGCUCUCUCCUCUACCCUCUUCGACGUGACCCUGACCCACCGCUGCAGCAGCUGGACCCACCACAACAACCUGAAAACGCCAACGGAGCUGCAGGAGGGGGACCUCAUCCAAAGGAGAUGGAGGGCACUAGACCCAAGGCCUCCUCUCACUACAGGGGAGGAGAUCCCCAGACAGGCCUUAGCUGACAGAGCUGUGAUGUCUCGCCCCAAAAGAGAGGCAGAGCAACAGAAUGCUGACCUCUACAGUCGCUGCAUUAACACUGUACAAGGCCGUGGCAAAUCAGCACGAAGGAUUGGGCAGCAGAGAAAAAGGGCGUGGCAGAGGUAGAAGGAGCAAUCGAGGUCAUAAGCAACCUCAAAAUGGACAAAACACAGACCAAGACGUAUGUUUCACCUGCACCCAGAAUGGAUACUGGAGAAAGGACUGCCCCAAUCGGGGUCAGAACCAGGGUGGACAGCGCAGUGAUCAGCAGCAGUGGCUGCAAGCAGACUGAAGAGGAGGAGGGCAGCACCCCAGCGGACGCUUCAGGCCAUGGUUUGCCCAAAACAACAGAACAGGAAAGUGAUGACACACACACACACACACACACACACACACACACACACACACACACACACACACGCUGAUUCAGUACGAAGUAAUGCACACACAAACACAAACCUAUACACACACAUGCUGAUACAGUGAGGAGUGAUACAAGAGCCACACACAAACGGAUGCACACACACAUGCUGACGCAAUGAAGAAUGCUUUGCUAACAAGUGCUCAUGUUGAUACAAAAAAAAAGUGUUACACACACACACACACAUACUGUUGCAAGACGCCAUUGAACACUUAGAACGCAUUCCCUCAAGUUGCAUUUCAUGCCAUCCAGAGGGCACAUAUGUACAUUUAACAAAAUAUGUACAUUUAAAUCUCUGCCUAUGUAUACAUUGUCUGUGUGUGGUGAGAAUGUGGAAUUUCCUGUAGACUCCGGAGCCACUCUGUGUUACGCUCUCACCCUCCCUGAAAUUCCAGCCAACAUUAGAAGGUACUCCCACUCUGUCUCUACAACAGGGCAUGUUCAAAGGGCGAUUUUCACAGUUCCCCUGUCCUGUAUUGACGGACAGGGCCAAAAGUUAAAACAUAAUUUUCUAUGGUCAGACUCAUGUCCAAUAAAUUUACUUAAUGUGUAAAUUAAACAUAAAUUUGAUCUCCUGCCAUGAUGGCCUUACAAUCACACAGUCAGAAUGUGACUAUGCAAUGGUGAAAUACAGCCCUGUGACCCCUGCCUUCGAAUAUGAAUGGAGGCUGCAGGCAGGGCUGCUCACUGAAAGUUAUCUUUUUACAAACAGCACGUGACUGCAUGCCUCCAGAUGCCUGUUUUGGCUGCUGACGGCCUGCACUGCACUUCUCACUGUGCUUCGCAGGGCCCUGAUGAGAGACAUGAGGGGAAGUGGUACAGAAUUGAAAAUGAUAAACUAACAGUGAAAUGCUUAUUUUAGAGCUUUACAUUUGCUGUGCUUGCCAUUUCACUCACUAAAGAACAAAAGUUGUUUAUAAUGGAUGCAUCCACCCCACACAUUUGCCUUGCCAGGCCCACUGACUGCAGGUGGGAAGACCUGGGCAGUUUUGUGCACAAUUGUAAAAAAAGAAUCAUUCUAAGAAAUCAUCAAAAGCCCAAAAUUACCAUGACAUUCAUGCUCAUGACGAGAGGAUAAAAACUGCAGUGCUGGAGAACUGUGGUAACUUAAUCUUAGAAUUUCUGAAAUUCUUCAAUAUAAGAUUAUGAAAAAAAGCCCCCAAAAAUAGCACAGACAAGAUGGACAGAGCAUUUUUUUCUUUAGAUUUUAACAUCAAAUAAGAACUUGUGAACCUUGAGAGUGAGAAAUAAUGAGACAACUUCUGCAACAAAUUUUCUGCAGCAUUAAAUUGGAUGAAAGAAGUUUAUUCUGGUUUCUUACAUGUGAUCAACUCAAAUCCUUACAAUUCCUCUUCAUGUUUGUGAGAAGACGAUCACAUGAUUAUCAACACAUUUUAAGAAAUUCUUUUGAACAAGUAGUUAAGAAGACAACACAACAGUUUCAAACUGGAAUCAACUGCUGAGUCUUCCCCUAAACACUACCAGCCUCAAGGUGUACAGGUAGAAUCUUAUUCUCGGAUUUGUCUUUUUCACAUUUUAUCUUGUUAAGAGAUUUUGUUUAAUGUUUUAUUAAAUAACAUGCUUUCCCUAAAUAGGUUUGCGAAUGUACAAUGAUGUUCAUAUAUUUUAUACUACAUGUAUCUUGUCACUACACAUGCACGUGAGCCUUGCUGACUUCUAAAAAUGACUGGCAUAAGGAGGUUGCCACAGGAAACCUCACCUUUGCUGAGUCUGCCGUUGGGAACAGGAACCAACUGGCUUCUGUUCCCCUUAAGAUAGGCUUGACCAGUUCCUUACUGACAGUUGAACGUAUAUGUUUUAUGCUUGUGUAAGGAGUGGUAUGUUAUCUCUUCCUACAUGUGUCUGUGACGCAAACAUGCUUGAGUAUAAAUAAAGCUGACUCCAAAGCCUCGGGGUGAGUAUCGCCCGAUCACUCACCCGUGCGCACGUAGUUCUCUGAACAAAACUCUGACUGUUUUGUAUUCCUUCAAUGUGUUUUAUAAUGUCUUACCACUGACAUAUCUUCUUUUUCUCAUUAGGUUUUUCUUGUGUGUAUGAACAAGGUUCCUUUUUAUCUUUUGUCACACAGUCAAAAGAGUUAAAUGGUAAGUUAACAAAUUUCUUGUCAGAAUCAGGUGUACACAUGUUCUGAAUUAUUUGCUCGUCACUUUCGUCAAUGAAAGUAUUCUUUCCCUUGCACUUUCCCGGUGGAGUUGUCUUUUUUGAAUUUUCCAGUUCAUUGACAGCUUUCAUCAAAGUAGCACAAUCUUUGUUAUUCUUUGCCUCCACAAGCGUGUGUUUCACUUUGAAGUCCUUAUAAUUUUGUGAGAACACAGCAGUGGAGAGCAGCAGCAGCAGCAAGCAGGUGCACUGAACCAUCAUGAUUCCCUGGUGAAGAAAAGCAGAACAUUUACAUUAGUCUGUUUUAUUUUAGUUUUAGUGGAGCAGUUGAGAGUAGUUUAUUUGAUUUUACUUAAUUCAAUAAUCGUUAAAAACAUUCAGCACAUUGCACUAAAAAAUCUACUUUGUGGAUCUUUGUCAACCAACAAGAUUUUAAACAGAACAAUACAUGACUUUUAUAUACUUUUAUAUUUAAAUGUUAUUUCAAUUCAGUUAAUGCUCUGUAAUUACUCUGAAUAAACAUCCUGCUCUGGCUUUCAUAGCUGCACAAGUAAUGCAAACUUUUCCACAUUAGGACACGUACCUGAAUCUUUUGCUUGACUGAUGAGUGGCGGGUUAACUGGCAGUCAGUCGUCUGAAACACCAGUAGACGAAGAUGUCUUCAGGAAGAGAAAUUCUCUGAAGCUGUGGGAUCUCUGUGUCUUUUGCUGAAGUGUUUAGCAAGAAUACAGCUCAACUAAAUCCAGUUGCAAAGUUGCUUAUUUACCCUGGUGAAUGAAGAAAGGUGUUUCGAUGUCAGCAAAAGACAGCACACACACUGGACCUGGAGGAUACUUUUACCUGGAGGAAACAAAAACACCAUUUUUAACAGACCCAAUGUAACCCACAUCAACUAUAAUGCAACAGGACCAGUGGCAGACAUGUCUUAUCCAGCCUGUUUGUAAUCUGCUUUAAAGAGGGAGGAGCUGACUACGGAGGCCUGGGAAAUUCACUGACUGAAGAUAUCUUUACCAGCUGGUGCUGCAGACGACCACCUUGUACCCAAACCAGCAACCAACUCACAAGUCAAGGUAA